UUUCUUUCCUCGACAACGACAUCUUGUCAAACAGUGCAAAACUAAAAAGUGCAAAGGGGGUUUGUCUUCAUACUGUCAUUAUGUCAUUUAAAUGUAUCAUGUUACACAGGUAAUACUGGUCGUUAUUGAAGUAAAACAAAAUCUAUUAAAUGAAGUCCUAGCAUGUUGGAUUUAAACCUUUGCAGUUUGCAUAUCAGUAGUCAAAGUGAAUUAGACAUAGUUCUGAGUAGUGUGGUUUUUUUUAGAAUUAGAAGGACUUCUGAUCCAACCAUGUAGCAUGGCAUGUUAUUGAGAUAUGGUUCUGGUUGAUGGAUGUUCAUGAAGUACCUGUAGUAAAAAGUAUAUCACUGGAUUGAGCUCUCUGUCUAAGUGCAUUCUUAAAGUGCUUUGCUUUGAGCUCGGUUCAUUGUUAUGCAAUUCAUUCUUUGUGAAAUAAAGACCUGACAGACAACUCUCAUGUACAAGGAUUUCUCAAAGUAUUAUCAUUUCUAUGUACAAUGUAAAACAGGGAGAUAAAAGCAUUUUUUCUUUUGUUUGAACCAAACAUUGUUUGUCCAUUGACCAAAUUUAGAAAAAAAAAGAACAAAUUUACACAACAAUGCUACUCCCGCUACUAGCAAAAUGAUGCUAGGUUGUAUUAAUAAAUAUGUAAUGCCUACUGAUGACUCAGUCCUGAGUGUAAAUGGUCAUUCAAUUAUGUUAAAAAUUAGACCAAAAUGUAUAAGGCCUUUCUGGCUUAAUUGAUUUCUGAAACUAUAUUUCAUUGUACAUGUUCAACAUUUUUCACUCGUUUGUUUAUUUUGUGUGAAUUAACAUUGUAACAGUAAAUGUUAAUUACAACAGUAACACUUUCAUACCACAACAAAUACUGUAUUGGUAUCACUUAUA